ACGAACGCUGGCGGCAGGCCUAACACAUGCAAGUCGAACGCCCUAGCAAUAGGGAGUGGCAGAUGGGUGAGUAACGCGUGGGAACCUUCCCAGUGGUACGGAAUAACCCAUCGAAAGGUGGGCUAAUACCGCAUACGCCCGCAAGGGGAAAGAUUUAUCGCCAUUGGAUGGGCCCGCGUCGGAUUAGCUAGUUGGUAGGGUAACGGCCUACCAAGGCGACGAUCCGUAGCUGGUCUGAGAGGAUGAUCAGCCACACUGGGACUGAGACACGGCCCAGACUCCUACGGGAGGCAGCAGUGGGGAAUAUUGGACAAUGGGCGCAAGCCUGAUCCAGCCAUGCCGCGUGAGUGACGAAGGCCUUAGGGUUGUAAAGCUCUUUUGGCGGGGACGAUAAUGACGGUACCCGCAGAAUAAGCUCCGGCUAACUUCGU
rnacentral:rRNA from 1 species